UAGGGUGAGCAUUAACAUCCAUUUUGCUGCCUGUGGACCUUUCCACUUAUGCAGUUGUACAAGGAAAAUACUUCAAAGCUGUUUUAAUCCACGUGUGUUGAUUACCCUGGGCCCUGGUCUGAAGGAGCCUGUGACUGAAGUUCUCCCUGAAUCCAAGCGUUGAAGCAUUUUCCCCUCUGGCUGCUGUGGGCUGAGUGCUGGGAAACCUCAUGCAGCUUUUACCUUUCUCUCUCAGUUGAACAUCAAAUCAGUGUGUGGACUCUGACCCCAGAAAGAAGAGUUGAAAGAGAAAAACCAAAUAGGAUGUUCAGUGUGCUUGACAAUUUCCUGGAGCAAGAGUGAAGAGAACAGGAUC
rnacentral:lncRNA from 1 species